AUUUAUUGUGGAACUGGGAUUCCUGGGAGUGCAUUCUGAUGAAGAUCAUCAAAGGACCUGAGCCCUAUGACCAUGCCUCAGGACUACCUCGCCUGAUGACUCCUUGCUGUCCCCAGUCCACCCGGUCGUGCUGCUGCUCCAGUUUCAACUGUUCUGCCUGUGGCUAUGGAAACCUGACCUUUUCACCGGAUGUGCUUGUCCCGGACCUGCUGUUUUCGACUCUCUCUUUCUCUACUGCACCUGCUGUCUCUAACUCUAAAUGAUCGGCUAUGAAAAGCCAAAUUACAUUUUCUCCUGAGGUGCUGACCUGUUUCACCCACUACAACCACUGUGAUUAUUAUUAUCUGACCCUGCUGGUCAUCUAUGAACGUUUGAACAUCUUGGCCAUGUACUGUUAUAAUCUUCACCCAGCACAGCCAGAAGAGGACUGGCCACCCCACAUAGCCUGGUUCCUCUCUAGGUUUCUUCCUAGGUUUUGGCCUUUCUAGGGAGUUUUUCCUAGCCACCGUGCUUCUACAUCUGCAUUGCUUGCUGUUUGGGGUUUUAGGCUGAGUUUCUGUACAGCACAUUGUUACAUCAGCUGAUGUAAAAAGGGCUUCAUAAAUACAUUUGAUU
ensembl:lncRNA